UUGCUCGCUUCGGCAGCAUGUAUACUAAAAUCAGAACAAUACAGAGAUUAGCAUGGCCCCGGCCCAAGGAUGACAUGCAAAUUCAUGAAGCAUUUCACAUUUUU
rfam:Tupaia chinensis contig13480, whole genome shotgun sequence.